rnacentral:lncRNA from 1 species
GGGGCUGGACUAGCAGGACUUCAAGGACCUUUCUAUGGGGGAACAAACUGCUUCCAUAGAAGAAAAGUUAUCUAUGGCCUUUAUCCAUAUAACAUAGAAAAGGGUACUUAUAACUAUAUAUUGGCUAUGCCAUUGUUUCCAAUUUUUAAGGAUACAGUAUUAAAUCUGAGAAUUAUUUUAUGUUUAGUCCUUGUAGCUGAUCUUGCAGGAAACAUUAUAUCUGAGAAGGAGUUAAAACAAAAAUUUGGAGGUUCAGAUGAGCUUGUGAAAUCAGUUGCUGAUGCUUUAGAAGGGAGAAAUUAUUCACCUCAUGAUGAUAUUAAUGUUUCCAACGCUCUUGAGGCAGCAAGUCAAGUUGCUAGUUGUGGAUAUGAAUAUGCCACUGGAUGGGGCCAACAGGUCUGCAAUAGAAAUAUAACAUAUGUUAGAUUACCCAAAGCAAUGUUAUUCUAUAUUUAUAAUUUUGGAAUAACAUGCAUUAAAAAUUAUUUACCAAGUCCACAAGUAAAUGCUACCACAAGUCCACAAGUAAUUUAUUAACUACAAGUUAAUAAACAUGUGGGUUUAUUGAAAUAAGUCUUCACAUCACAAUGGUUGUAAUAGAUCGGUUUUGAAUCAAGAACAAGCAAGAGCCAAUUAAAAUAAUCCAUCAUUUCAAUAAGUUACAACCAUAUUAACUAGUAUUUGAUAAAUCACUUGUGUUAUCUUAUAAUCUAUAUUCACUCUACCUGUUAUUGAAAUAUUUUUCCCCUUUUCCAUCUGAUAAUAAAAUUGAAAGUUGGCGUGGUUGUUUGUGAAUUUAAGGUAGGUUGGAUAUAUGGAUCAAUAACAGAGGAUGUUCAAACAGGGCUUACAAUACAUAGAAAGGGAUGGAGAUCAGAAAUGUGUACACCAAACCCAACUGGAUUCACAGGAAGUGCACCAAUAGGACUACCAACUGCAAUGACCCAACAAAAGAGAUGGACCACAGGAAUGGUUGAGAUUUUCUUUAGCAGACAUUCUCCUAUUAUUGCAACCCUUUUUGGUAACCUUCCAUUUAGGAUGUUCUUGGCAUAUAUGUGGAUUAUUGAUUGGGGCUUGCGUUCACUCCCUGAAACAUGCUAUGUCUCUCUCCUCACAUAUUGCAUCAUUACUAACUCCAAUUUCUUGCCUAAGGUAAGCAUUAAAUAAUACACCCAAUAUUAUUUACUCCACGUUAUACUAACUUCAUUUCAUUUACGAGUUGAAUUUUGGAGGAAGAAAUAAAAAAAAAUGUAAGGUUUUAGAACAUUAAAGUACACUUGUGAGAUGAAUAUGAAACAUUUCAUUUCCAUUAUUUUUCUUCCAAUACUCAAUUCUCAAUCAAACUUUUAAACCAAACAAUACUCAUUUCCAUUAUGAGAUAGAAACUUGUUGUAACCGGCAAACACACAACCUAACAGAAAUUAGUAGGGUGAUGAAAUAUAAUUGGUUAUACCAAUAAAAAAAUUUCAAAAGCUAAAAGGGUAAGAAAUAUCUAUAUAACCUAUAGGUGAACUUUAUAUUUCUCGUUUCCUAUAUCUAAGAAAUAACAUAUAUCAAUAGAUAAAUAUAGAUAUAGAGGUUAACUGUAUUUUUUCUUUUUAAUCCAGGGGUCAGGUCUAUGGAUUCAUGUAACUAUUUUCAUAAUUCAGAUGGUAUGCGCUUUAUCAGAGUACUUAGCAACAGGUCUAUCAAUCAGAGCAUGGUGGAACAAUCAAAGGAUGUCAAGAAUAAGAGCAACAACUGCUGGAUUUUUAGGAUUUUUGAGUGCUUUAUUUAAGCUUCUUAGGAUAUCAGACACUGUCUUUGAUAUAACAAGGAAAGAUGAAAACCCUUUUGGGAAUGGUAUACAUGAUUCAGAUGCUGGAAGAUUUACAUUCAAUGAAUCACCAGUGUUUGUACCUGCCACUACCAUUUUGCUAUUGCAGUUGAUAGCACUAUCUAUAAAGUUGUUGGGGUUGCAACCAAUUAAGAGUGGAAAUAAUGAGUGUGGUAUAGGUGAGAUGUUGUGUAGUGCAUAUUUGAUAAUAUGUUAUUGGCCUUUUUUGAGAGGGUUAUUUCAAAGGGGUAAAUAUGGUAUUCCAUUACCUACAAUAUGCAAGUCAGCAUCUCUGGCGUUUCUAUUUGUGCACCUAUGUAAAUGGACUAUUGUGAGUUGAUGUAAUCUUGAAACUAGAAACAAGAUAAGUCUUGAUUAUACCAAUAAGUGAAAAUGUUUGUUAGGUUGAUUAAGUUUCUUGAAAUUCAAUAAAUACAAUACAUUAGGUUGAUUAAGUUUCUUGAAAUUCAAUUUGUUUUUGUAACUAGUUUGACUUACUUUUAUACAUUUUUGUCUUAAAUCCAUAUAUAUCAUUAGAACUAUGAUAUAUUGUCCCAAAUAUUGUCUUCCACUAAAGAAAAUAUGAUAAAAUUCAUUAUUUUAUUUAUUUUGACUUCAACUGUGACACAUAAUUUAGGACAACAAUUCUUCUAUAAUCUUUUCUAACAAAAUAAUACUUUACCCAGAUGAAGAAAAAUAGAAAAGAAAUUGAAAGUAAACAAUUACAGAAAAAACAGUUAUCUGAGAUAUAAAAAAACGAGGCAGACUGACAUUGAAGUGAAAAUACACCUAAAGACUAAAAGACAAAGACAUUUUUAUCCCUUUAAUUUAUAUUAAAUUAUAUUUUUAUCCUUAAAUAUACAUUAAAAAAAUCUAAUUGUCCUCUCCAUUCUAGUUCUAAAAGAACAUAAGGAUCGUUGCACUUGUAAAGAAGUUAGAUUUAAAAGCACAAACCAGAAAGGAGGGUCUUUUUGAAGAAGCAGAAGCUACCAACAUCUUAGUUUAACUUUAACCACUUCACUCUGACAACUUCUUCUACAGUGGUUGAUCAUUAUUUCACACCCAUCACUUGUUUCUCUGUCUAUAUUCUAGUUCUUGAGAGAGACAUGUCAGUGAAGGUUGUUCUUUUCAGUGUGGGUUUGGGAGUGGUGGCACUUUGUAUAGUAGGUUAAAUUGUGGGCCCCCCUCUCUAUUGGCAUUUUAUGGAAGGUUUUGGUACAUCAUCUUAUUGUGAUCCCUGUCUCUGUGAUUGUUCUUCACAACCUAUUCUUUCUAUUCCUUAAGGUACUUCCUUUUCUACUUCCCAUUUUUAUAGAUCUGCUUUCAUCAUUUACUCAAUUACCCAGCUUCAUAUUUCUUCAAAAAGUUCAUCUUUUCUUAAUUGGGUCAUCGUAUCCUGGGUUUGGAUCACAACAAGUAAACGUUUUUGAGAUCUGGGCUCUAUAUGGGAAUUAUUUUUUUGUUUUGAUUGGAAAAAAUGGAUAUUAGUUCAGUCAUGGAAAUUGAAGCUUGACACCUAUCUGCAUUAGCAUUUAGCAAGUUAAUCCUUAACCUUCUCAUUAUAUGUUCUAGUAUGAGUAAUUUGAUGAAUAUCUUAUUUUUAUAGUGUUAUAGCAUCUUUAUGUUUAGUCCUUGUAGCUGAUCUUGCAGGAAACAUUAUAUCUGAGAAGGAGUUAAAACAAAAAUUUGGAGGUUCAGAUGAGCUUGUGAAAUCAGUUGCUGAUGCUUUAGAAGGGAGAAAUUAUUCACCUCAUGAUGAUAUUAAUGUUUCCAACGCUCUUGAGGCAGCAAGUCAAGUUGCUAGUUGUGGAUAUGAAUAUGCCACUGGAUGGGGCCAACAGGUCUGCAA